UUUGAUCAACACGGGGAAACUACCAGGACCAGAUGUUUUUAUGACUGACAGGCUUCGGGUCUUUCAGGAUAUGUUUUUGGUGGUGCAUGGCCGUUGGUGGUGCGUGGGUUGACCUGUCUAGCGUGAUUUCAGCUAACGAGCGAGAUUAUCGCCAAUUAUUUACUUUGCCGAAGUCCUUCGGUUAAAGUUCUAAUUGGGACUCCCUGCGAUUUUAGCAGGUGGAAGAGGGUAGCAAUAACAGGUCCGUGAUGCCCUUUAGAUGCUCUGGGCUGCACGCGUGCUACAAUGUUAGGAUCAAUAGGACUGCGAGCCUGAGAGGGUGCGCUACUCUUAUAAUCCCUAACGUAGUUGGGAUUGACGUUUGUAAUCAGCGUCAUGAACCAGGAAUCCCUUGUAAAUGUGUGUCAACAACGCACGUUGAAUACGUCCCUGCCCUUUGUACACACCGCCCGUCGCUCCUACCGAUUGGAUGACUCGGUGAAAUCACCGGAUGCUUACGAGCAGAAAGUGAUUAAAUCACGUUAUCUAGAGGAAGGAGAAGUCGUAACAAGGUAACGGUAGGUGAACCUGCCGUUGGAUCAGUU
rnacentral:ncRNA from 1 species